UACGAAGGGGGCUAGCGUUGCUCGGAAUCACUGGGCGUAAAGGGUGCGUAGGCGGGUUUUUAAGUCAGAGGUGAAAUCCUGGAGCUCAACUCCAGAACUGCCUUUGAUACUGAAAGUCUUGAGUAUGGGAGAGGUGAGUGGAACUGCGAGUGUAGAGGUGAAAUUCGUAGAUAUUCGGAGGAACACCAGUGGCGAAGGCGGCUCACUGGCUCGGUACUGACGCUGAGGUGACGAAGCGUGGGAGCAAACAGG
rnacentral:rRNA from 1 species